GGUAGAGGUGGAAGAUAAUCAGAUCCCUCACAUGAAGAAAUAGUUCAGCAUAGUGGGUGUAAUUGUUGCAUUUAUUGUUUCUUUUUGAAGAUCAAUGUCUUAAUUAGAAUUCAUUUAAGUUGCAUUUGUUUUAUAUUAUUUCAUUUAGUAUGACUAAAAAGGUGCUUUUAUUUUGAAGUCCUAGUAAGUCUCGUCGGCUACUCUCGCGUGUCUGACUGACAGCAUCGGCACAAGCAAUUAAACAGUUAUGAAGGACUUUACGCUGUUUCAAGUUUCAUCCUCGUCACAAAGGACUAUAUAUUGAAGAUUUGAAGACAAUUCCCUCUUUUGUAGCAUGCAGCCAACGAGUUUUCACGGUGGAUUUGGAGAGAAAGAGACAAGCUUCAAAUAAACCCGUAGAAAGAAAGCCACUUGUGUCUGCCUAUGCUUCGAGGGAGUUAAAGUGGGAAACUCUCUUACUGUCUUAUCACUGUGAGUGAAGUGAGACGGUGGAUUAUAAUAAGUGAUGAUGAAAUAGCGCCACUUGAGACUUCCGGUUCCGGCCAUGCCCAAGUCAGACGCCUAAACAGAACGCGCUGCCCGAUUACAGUUUAAAAUAGCCUGAAACCCAACCAUAUCCCACUCACAACUUUAAAGUUAAACAAACGGUGCUCCAACAAGCCUGGACCCAGCGAGUCAUGGAGUUUCAGGGAAAGUUUAUUUUGACCAAGACUACUCCCCGGAUGUCCUGAGAAAGAGAAAGCAAGUGCGUGAAGUCAUUAAAAGGCUCAGGGAACGCAACAUUAGAGCUCAAGCACCUUACCCGGCACAGUUAAGGGUAUUUUUGGACACCAGGGUCAAAACCUUUCCCUCUCUUUAUGAAGCUCACCAACUCUGCAGGAGCUAGGAUUGGAAGUAGACGUGGAUGAAUGGGACCUCCUGGAGAGAGAGCUACUACAGGACAGAUGGCUGACCCAGGAUAGACAGGGGAAGAAGGGGCUGAUGCUGACUCCCAAGGAAAUCAGGACCAUCAUGAACAGUGCAGAUCAUCACGGAAACAACUGAGACCCGACUAACUCCGCAGGAACCAGGAAUGGAAGUAGAUGUGGAUGAGUGGGACAUCUUAGAGAGAGAGCUACUACACAACAGACGACUGAUCCAAGGCAGACAGGGGAAAGAGGGACUGACGCUGAUUUAGAUCUUUUAUUUUCUCCCGUUGCAUAAAAGAUUAAAUGGACAAGGUAAUGUGAGUGUAGUAAAAGCAUAUUAAACUCUAAAUGUUUACAGGCUUAACAAAAUCAAAAUCAAGAGUUCGGGCAAGAAGAUACGUAGGGGUUUUCCCUUUGUUUUUCAAAUCUUAUUUCACCUUUUCUGUUUUCAUUUUCUCCUUUUUCCCCUAUUUUAUUUUUUAGUUCUUAUUUAUUAAAGACUGAUUUGGGCAUUCAAUGCAGCAGAGUUUGGACAUUGCGCGGACUGCUGCUCACACACUUUGUGUACCCCUCCCAGGGAGUCUAGUCUCCCUGCCCAGACUAGGUUUACAUCAGGGGUGGGUUAUACAUGGACUGUUAACCAUAUGCCUCUUUAAUGAGGUUAACCCACGGUCUCAUUGGAAGUUCUACCAAGUUACCGGCUGGUUCUCUGUUUUACGGCAAGGUGACUCUGAGAAUUAUUUUUGGUUGUAAAUGUACCAAGACAGUUAAGAGAGAGGGAAAUGGUGAAUUAUGUUAUCUUUUUCUUUCUUCUUUCCACAUAGUAGAAUAUGACCACUCUGAAAUGCGUUAGUUUCAAUGUAAAUGGACUAAAUCACCCUAUAAUGAGGAAAAAAAUAUUGGCACAAUUAAAAAGGUUGGAUUGCUCGAUAGGGUUUGUAGCAACCGAUAAUGUAAUAAUGGCCAAUAAUGUAAUACCUGCCAAUAAUGUAAUACCUGCCAAUAUUUAUUUUUUAUAUUUUAUAUUUAUAUAUUUAAUAAUUUAAAUAAAACAGGAGACCAGCGCGCCAACUGCUCUGCUCGCGUGAAGCAUAGCGGACUGUCAUCUCAUCUCCAUAGUGACGGCCAAUGUUGCUACUUCCGCUAUCAAAAAUAAAGUAUUAUUACCAAAGUUAACCUUCAGAUAUAUAAAAAUACUGUAUACUGAAUAUUCUAUCAUUUAUAUUUUAUAUUGUGAUGUAAUUUAUCUUCCAACAUAAUAAAGUUUGAAUGUGAGACAGUAA